CAGCAGCCAAAUGAAGGAGGAGGUCGCUCCACUUCUACCUUCAUGAGCUGGCUGUUCCUGGUACCAGAAGGCUGUCUCCUGCGAGGACCAGAAGUUGAGCCAAGGCACAUGGAACUUACAAUAGCAGAUGGUAAGAACCAGGGCAGAAGGAGAACUCCUGAAGCCUCCGAAGGAAGGAAAUCAUUACAGGGCCCUACAGAAGUAGGUCAUGUGCUACAGCUGCUCAUAGUUUAAGAGGAAGAAACAUGGGAUCUCAAACCUGGAACACGACUCUUUCAAAAUGCUUGUGAGCAACCCAAGAAAAACAUCCUCCUGAGGCUUAUCUAAUAACCAUGAUCUCUAAUCGUCUCAAUGUGUGCUCAUGUUUCCUUAGGAGUUUGCACCCACUUCUCAGAGCUAACGAGAUGCCGAAACAGAACACAGAAAAAAGUAAUGAAGGAGAUUUAAUAGUUUGUGUUAAAGCUAAUAUGGUCCAUUAGGGGCUGUCAUUUUUAU
rnacentral:lncRNA from 1 species